rnacentral:rRNA from 1 species
GACGAACGCUGGCGGCGUGCUUAACACAUGCAAGUCGAACGGAAAGGCCCUGCUUUUGUGGGGUGCUCGAGUGGCGAACGGGUGAGUAACACGUGAGUAACCUGCCCUUUACUUUGGGAUAACUUCAGGAAACUGGGGCUAAUACCUGAUAGGAGCUCCUGCUGCAUGGUGGGGUUUGGAAAGUUUCGGCGGUUGGGGAUGUACUCGCGGCUUAUCAGCUUGUUGGUGGGGUAGUGGCUUACCAAGGCUUUGACGGGUAGCCGGCCUGAGAGGGUGAACGGCCACAUGGGGACUGAGAUACGGCCCAGACUCCUACGGGAGGCAGCAGGGGGGAAUAUUGCACAAUGGGCGGAAGCCUGAUGAAGCAACGCCGCGUGCGGGAUGACGGCCUUCGGGUUGUAAACCGCUUUCGCCUGUGACGAAGCGUGAGUGACGGUAAUGGGUAAAGAAGCACCGGCUAACUACGUG